AAUCAAUUUCAUAUGAAUAUGACAUAUCAAUUCCUACAACGGUGGCCAGACCUGAGAAUUUUUCAUAAAAAUUCCCAUAAAAUAAUAUAUUUAUAUAAAAAUAUCUACACCGCCCAAAUUGACGCAAAGACGCUGACAACUGAUCAAAACCUAGAAAAUCCACGCACAUGAAUCAGACGGUUGGAGUUUCGAUCCUGAUGGUCGAGUCUCCAGUCUCCCGUAAGUUCGGCACCGUAGGAUCGGUGAUCGUGUCGACUAAUCCCAACCGCAUACCGAUAACACUCUCUCAGCUCCGCUCGGAUGCUCUCGGUGGCCGCCACAGAGAACCGCCUCCGAGAUGCCGGCGCGACGCCGUAUCGCUUUCUGGGCUCUCGUUGCCUCGCUUCUGUGCUUCGAGCCGGUCCUCUCCCUCGCGAGAGGAGCUUGCGAGCUUAGCGUUCGAUGGCGCGAUGCUAUUUAUAACUAUAGCUUGGCGUCGCCCACCUCUAAUCACCCCCACGGCGUUCUCAGCGAAGAUGGGUUUUACAAGGUAGCAGUAAAUGAGACGUUGCUCUGGUUUCAGCUAUGCGAUCAGAUGAUAUUCAACCAUGAUCCACCUAGAUGUUUUAGUUGCCAGGACUGUGGAGGUCCUUCUCAUUGUGGCAUGAAGUGCAGUGCACUUGUGGCAAACAACAUAGGAGGUUAUCCAGUUUGCACAACUAUUGGGGGGUUACCAAAUCAACAUAUUGCUCUCAUUGAUGAAAAUGAUCCAGAAAGGGGUGUCAUCAUUAGGAUGUCAGCAAGUGGCCAGGAAAAAUUUUGUUCACUUUCUGUUUCAGUUUUCUGUGAUUCAGUUAAAACACAAGUACCAAAUUCAUUGAACAUAUCAGGAAGCUGUGACUAUGCUACAAUGCUUAGGCAUCCAUCCGGUUGUGCUAAAGUAAGUUCUGUCAAUGGAAAAGGGCUGGGCUGGUUUGGUACCUUAAUAAUCAUAAUCUUAUGCCUUCUAGGAGGUUACAUUCUGGUUGGCACCAUUUACAGGUUUUUCUUCCUCGGAAUUCAUGGUGCAGAAGCUAUACCAAACGUCGAAUUUUGGCUCAGUUUGCCACAAAGAGCAAGGGGUAUGCUUGAUUCCUUGGGAAGAAGAUUCCGAGGACACACUAGAGAUGGUCGAGGUUCUUAUGCUCCUAUGAACUACUGAAAAACACAUUUGGCCAACUUUCUCAUGGAGUUCUCUCUUGGUGGAUUUACUCAUCUAGGCAAACAAUUUGAGAGAUCAGCAGUGUCUGCAAUUAGAAGGAAACAUUGCAUGGUAUUUAUUAUCAGGCUCACUUGCUAUAUUGAGUUAAAUAUUGCUGAUUUGUCUAUUGCUUCAUGGCCAUGGUUCUGCGUUUGUUCUUUUCUUUGGAAUUUAAAUUUGCACCCGCAAGUGGAAUACCUUGUCUUACAUUAAUCAUGACUUGAUUUUGCUACUUUGUAUGAGAUCCACCUUCAUAGUUGGGUGGAUGGUGACAAGUCUCAAGAAGUUUCAAGCAUAAUGAUUUUUUAAUUGGUGAUAAAGUUGAUCUGGAGACGUGAGGGCCAAGACAGCUCUUGUGGGAUAUAUAUCUCUCACUUCCAUUUUUAAAUGAUUCGCAAA